rnacentral:rRNA from 1 species
UACAGAGGGUGCAAGCGUUGUUCGGAAUUACUGGGCGUAAAGCGCGUGUAGGCUGCGACGUAAGUCAGGUGUGAAAAGCCCUCAGCUUAACUGAGGAAGUGCACUUUGAUACUGCGUCGCUUUGAGUGUCGGAGGGGGUGGCGGAAUUCCCGGUGUAGAGGUGAAAUUCGUAGAUAUCGGGAGGAACACCUGUGGCGAAGGCGGCCACCUGGACGACAACUGACGUGAGACGCGAAAAGCGUGGGUAGCAAAACAGGAUUAGAAUACCC